CAACCUUUCUUGACAUGCUUCCCUCUUCUUCAUGCUCUAGAUCUGAUUUUUGUGACAGAAGAAAGGGUCAAACAAUAUACCAGACUUUCCAGUCGAUUCAGUCCAGCCUUGAGGGAAUGCUGUCUUUGUGGCUGUCUUGUUGCCCAAAGAAUUGAAGAGGCAGUUCAUCCAAAAGUCAAAGUAGAAGUGCAUGGGAGGCAUGAAUAGGCUGCAACACCUUGCCAAGAAAGAAUUGUGCUGAAGAUGUGAAGAAAACCAUCAACAUAAUGUGACUGGAAAAGGACAUGGAUUGGUCAUGGAAUAAAAGUUUGGGAUAAUUGAUGGAUUGUACUUUGUUAAGAGAUACAGGGUGGCAAUCCCAGCAUGUGAGGUGGUUCCCUUUGGAAAAUUCAUGUAAAAAUAGUAACAAAAGUCACCUGUAAUGAAGUAUUAUGAAUGGAUUGUAGUCUGUGCCACUGAAGGGACUGAUCACAUUGAAAAGAUUACAGAUCCAUUGAAGAACUCAAGUGUAAUCAAACAACAGGAUCCUAUCUAAUAAAAGACUAAGACUGCACACAUGGGA
rnacentral:lncRNA from 1 species